ensembl:lncRNA
GACUGAAGGUCGAUAAACUCAAGUUGCAGGUCAGUGGGAGCGUUAUCCACAUUGAAGGUGAAAGGAGAGGAAACCAACAGCAUGUCAUUUUCCAACACUUUGAAAUCCUCAAAACUACGAGAAAACUCACCGUUAAAAGCACACAGCAACGAAGUAUACUUCUCCCUCUGGUCAUAUGAUAGGGAACAGACAAGUAGUAUCAGAAGGUCAUCUGAUAGGGAACAGACUAGUAGUAUCAGAAGGUCAUCUGAUAGGGAACAGACUAGUAGUGUCAGAAGGUCAUCUGAUAGGGAACAGACUAGUAGUGUCAGAAGGUCAUCUGAUAGGGAACAGACUAGUAGUGUCAGAAGGUCAUCUGAUAGGGAACAGACUAG